GAUGAAGAACGUAGUGAAAUGCGAUAAGUAAUGUGAAUUGCAGAAUUCAGUGAAUCAUCGAAUCUUUGAACGCACAUUGCGCCCCCUGGUAUUCCGGGGGGGCAUGCCUGUUCGAGCGUCAUUUCAACCCUCAAGCUCUGCUUGGUAUUGAGUCCAUGUCAGCAAUGGCAGGCUCCAAAAUCAGUGGCGGCGCCGCUGGGUCCUGAACGUAGUAAUAUCUCUCGUUACAGGUGCUCGGCGUGCUUCUGCCAAAACCCCAAUUUUUCUAUGGUUGACCUCGGAUCAGGUAGGGAUACCCGCUGAACUUAAGCAUAUCAAUAAGCGGAGGA
rnacentral:misc_RNA from 1 species